UUUACUCCUACGGGAGGCAGCAGUGGGGAAUAUUGCACAAUGGGCGCAAGCCUGAUGCAGCGACGCCGCGUGAGGGAUGACGGCCUUCGGGUUGUAAACCUCUUUCAGUAGGGAAGAAGCGAAAGUGACGGUACCUGCAGAAGAAGCGCCGGCUAACUACGUGCCAGCAGCCGCGGUAAUACGUAGGGCGCAAGCGUUAUCCGGAAUUAUUGGGCGUAAAGAGCUUGUAGGCGGUUUGUCGCGUCUGCCGUGAAAGUCCGGGGCUCAACUCCGGAUCUGCGGUGGGUACGGGCAGACUAGAGUGAUGUAGGGGAGACUGGAAUUCCUGGUGUAGCGGUGAAAUGCGCAGAUAUCAGGAGGAACACCGAUGGCGAAGGCAGGUCUCUGGGCAUUAACUGACGCUGAGGAGCGAAAGCAUGGGGAGCGAACAGGAUUAGAUACCCUGGUAGUCCAUGCCGUAAACGUUGGGCACUAGGUGUGGGGGACAUUCCACGUUUUCCGCGCCGUAGCUAACGCAUUAAGUGCCCCGCCUGGGGAGUACGGCCGCAAGGCUAAAACUCAAAGGAAUUGACGGGGGCCCGCACAAGCGGCGGAGCAUGCGGAUUAAUUUGAUGCAACGCGAAGAACCUUACCAAGGCUUGACAUGAACCGGUAAACCCUGAGACCAGU
rnacentral:rRNA from 1 species